ensembl:lncRNA
GGCAGACGUGACAUUGAGGGGAAAGCAAAUGAACACUUUUGCUUGAAUCUCCUGAUGUUUCUCUUGAUGAAAAUACAGAGUUUCAGAAGAGAUCUCAGCAGACUGUGCACAUAUUUCCAAAGUCUGCGACCAAAGGAAGAUUUGGUGAUUACUUCUCCAGUUCUCUUCUGGAUCUUCCAUCCCACCAUCCACCCCUCUCUCCUUUCUCCGUGAGAGGUCUCUUCAGCUGUACAAGAAUCUCACGGUGGACAGAUUUCAGUCAUCACAUCACGUUUGUGCUGAGGUGUGUGGCGUCUCACAUGCGAUUGGCUGCGGCUCCCAGCGGCGACUGCAGCCUCUCUUCAUCCCUUCAUGGAGCUUUGCACGGGAAACGGGCGGAAAAGGGUCAGAGCGAGAGGUGAGGCCUCACUGAAGUGUGUUUAUUUGUGAGGAGUCACAGUGGCAGGUGUAUCGGUGAACAAACAGGCCUUUGUUGUGUGGUGAAAGAGGCCACACUGGUUUUAAGAGCUCACUUUUAUCACCUCUACACUGAAGGUUGAUGGAGGUAUUUCGACUCUCUCUCUCUCUCUCUCUCUCUCUCUCUCUCUCUGUUUCUCACUCAGUCUCAUACACUCUCUCACUCACACAAUCUUUUUUUCCUCUUUUCUUUCUCUCUGGUGAGCAGUCUGUCAUUUUUGGGGUGCUAUUCAGGUAAGAGACAUUGAUAUAUUAGGUGAA